rnacentral:rRNA from 1 species
AUUGAACGCUGGCGGCAUGCCUUACACAUGCAAGUCGAACGGUAACGGAUCCUUCGGGAUGCCGACGAGUGGCGAACGGGUGAGUAAUACAUCGGAACGUGCCUGGUAGUGGGGGAUAACUACUCGAAAGAGUGGCUAAUACCGCAUGAGAUCUCAGGAUGAAAGCAGGGGACCCUCGGGCCUUGCGCUAUCAGAGCGGCCGAUGGCAGAUUAGGUAGUUGGUGGGAUAAAAGCUUACCAAGCCGACGAUCUGUAGCUGGUCUGAGAGGACGAUCAGCCACACUGGGACUGAGACACGGCCCAGACUCCUACGGGAGGCAGCAGUGGGGAAUUUUGGACAAUGGGCGCAAGCCUGAUCCAGCAAUGCCGCGUGCAGGAUGAAGGCCUUCGGGUUGUAAACUGCUUUUGUACGGAACGAAAAGCCCUGGGUUAAUACCCUGGGGUCAUGACGGUACCGUAAGAAUAAGCACCGGCUAACUACGUG